CCUACGGGUGGCAGCAGUGGGGAAUAUUGGACAAUGGGGGAAACCCUGAUCCAGCGACGCCGCGUGAGUGAAGAAGUAUUUCGGUACGUAAAGCUCUAUCAGCAGGAAAGAAAAUGACGGUACCUGACUAAGAAGCCGCGGCUAACUACGUGCCAGCAGCCGCGGUAAUACGUAGGGGGCAAGCGUUAUCCGGAUUUACUGGGUGUAAAGGGAGCGUAGACGGCAGCGCAAGUCUGGAGUGAAAUGGCGGGGCCCAAACCCGGAAGUGCUCGGGAAACUGUGAAGCUGGAGUGCAGGAGAGGUACGCGGAAUGCGUGGUGUAGCGGUGAAAUGCGUAGAUAUCAGGAGGAACACCGGGUGCGAAGGCGGCGUACUGGAGUGAGACUGACGUUGAGGCUCGAAGGCGUGGGGAGCAAACAGGAUUAGAUACCCGAGUAGUC
rnacentral:rRNA from 1 species